rnacentral:rRNA from 1 species
GUCGAGGGGCAGCGGGGUAGUGCUUGCACUACUGCCGGCGACCGGCGCACGGGUGAGUAACACGUAUGGAACCUGCCCGCAGCAGGGGGAUAAGCGGAAGAAAUUCCGUCUAAUACCGCGUAAGAACGUUGGGAGGCAUCUCCCGAUGUUUAAAGAUUUAUCGGCUGCGGAUGGCCAUGCGGCGCAUUAGCUAGUCGGCGGGGUAACGGCCCACCGAGGCGACGAUGCGUAGGGGUUCUGAGAGGAAGGUCCCCCACACUGGUACUGAGACACGGACCAGACUCCUACGGGAGGCAGCAGUGAGGAAUAUUGGUCAAUGGCCGAGAGGCUGAACCAGCCAAGUCGCGUGAGGGAAGACGGCCCUACGGGUUGUAAACCUCUUUUGUCGGGGAGCAAAGCGAACCACGUGUGGUUCAUUGAGAGUACCCGAAGAAAAAGCAUCGGCUAACUCCGUGCCAGCAGCCGCGGUAAUACGGAGGAUGCGAGCGUUAUCCGGAUUUAUUGGGUUUAAAGGGUGCGCAGGCGGAGGUGCAAGUCAGCGGUCAAAUUGCGGGGCUCAACCCCGUACUGCCGUUGAAACUGCAUCCCUUGAGUGCGCGAGAAGUAUGCGGAAUGCGUGGUGUAGCGGUGAAAUGCAUAGAUAUCACGCAGAACUCCGAUUGCGAAGGCAGCAUACCGGCGCGCAACUGACGCUCAUGCACGAAAGCGUGGGUAUCGAACAAAAUUAGAUACCCUGGUAGUCCACGCAGUAAACG